rnacentral:tRNA from 1 species
UGGGGGCGUAGCUCAACUGGAUAGAGCGCUCACCUGCUAAGCGAGAGUAUGCCCGUUCAAGUCGGGUCGCCCCCAU